rnacentral:rRNA from 1 species
UACGGAGGGGGCGAGCGUUAUUCGGAAUUAUUGGGCGUAAAGGGCGCGUAGGCGGCCCGCUAAGUCAAAGGUGAAAUCCCUCGGCUCAACUGAGGAACUGCCUUUGAGACUGUCGGGCUCGAGGCCGGGAGGGGGUAGCGGAAUUCCAGGUGUAGCGGUGAAAUGCGUAGAUAUCUGGAGGAACAUCAGUGGCGAAGGCGGCUUCCUGGUCCAACAUUGACAUUCAGGUGCGAAAGCGUGGGGAGCAAACAGG